rnacentral:rRNA from 1 species
UACGGAGGGUGCAAGCGUUAUCCGGAUUCAAUGGGUUUAAAGGGUGCGUAGGUGGGCCUGUAAGUCAGUGGUGAAAUCUCCGGGCUUAACCCGGAAACUGCCAUUGAUACUAUAGGUCUUGAAUCAUCUGGAGGUGAGCGGAAUAUGUCAUGUAGCGGUGAAAUGCUUAGAUAUGACAUAGAACACCGAUUGCGAAGGCAGCUCACUACGGAUGUAUUGACACUGAGGCACGAAAGCGUGGGGAUCAAACAGG